GGAGUCUGGUGCUGACUGGUGAAUUCAGAAGCAGGAAAGAGGGACAGAGUGGAUUUUACAACCAGAAUAAAGCUGGGAAAUGCCCCCGUGAAUGGAGCCAAAGAAAGGUUGGAGUUUGGGGUAUGGUGUGUAUUUGAAGAUUCAAACUCCACGUGGUCUUCAGGAGCUCAAACACUCUCACACAGAACAGAAAGGAAGUCUCCAAAACGAAUGUGAAAUUGACAAAUCACCGCACUGCUUCAGGACCCCAGCCCAUGGAAUGCUGUGAUCAACAUUCAGAGUCGAUCAUCCUACAUCAAUUACCCUAAUCUAGGAAAUCCCACAGAGCCAGGACCAAAGGGACCACUUUCCACUGGGUGUCCCAGUGCCUAUCACACUUUAGUAGGACUUGAGGACAAAUCGUGUCUUGUUCUUGGAAGAAGCAUCCUGGCUAAGUGGCUCUGUAUUUCUGUCAUUCAGCACAAUUCUUUAGAAGUCUGAUCUGAACAAGUAGCAAUAUCCUAACAGUUGAGAACAAUGAUAGAUGACCAGCAAUAGAAUCUUAGCUGCUGGAUAUUUCAUUUGUGUGGAUGCAGAAUGUAGCACAGAUUUACUAAGGAAAAGAAUUUCCUACGCCAGAAGCUAAAAGACAUCAGAAGACUCAAAUGGUCAUUAAAAGAAGAUAGUUUGAGGAAAUCCAUUUCAAUUGCUCUGCAUUGGAGAAAUCAUUAUUCUACGUGCACAGUUUUGAAGACCCAAUAUGACUAUUUUAGGCAUCAACUCUUCCUUAGAAAUUGUUAGUUUGGAGGGAUCAAAUUACAGAGAUUACUUCAUAUUUGGGAAAAGAAAACACAACAACCAAAAAUGCUAUUGCUAAAUGCACUUGCCAGAGUCCCUUGAAGACUUUGAAAGGUGGAAACCAAUUUCUUUUGAGAGGUUGCAUUUUUACCAGAUCAUUUUAUUUGACUGUAUGUGCUUUUAAAAUAUAUGACCCCUGCAUCUGAGGAACAGGUCUUCACGGCAACAUGAAGAAGAAACAUGUGUGGAUACACUGCUGCAUUUGGGGGCUUUUAUUUCCUAGUAAAACCCACUGUUCUUGGUUGAGAGGCAGCCUUUGAAAUCUGGGCCCAGGAAGAAACACAGUGUGAUCUCCCGAGAGGAACUGUUCUCUAUGUUCACACACCAUUUGUUUCAAAAACGCUUAAAGUCCAUGUGCUGAAUUUCUGUUUCUGUGCUGUGAGCUAUUGUUACCUCACUAAAGGGACAAAUGAAUUUUGACAGUGAGGAUACUGUGCAAACCUUUUUCAUAAGUAAUCAGCCAUUUUGGAUUCACACCCACUUUGGGUUUGAUCUUUGAUAAAAAGAAAACUUGAAGGAAACUGUCGCUUCAGAAAUGUUCAGAAACAACAAGAAAAAUACACAAAAGCUGGCCCAUGUGGACCUUCCUUGAUGUGCUGUCCAGCACAUGCCAGCGGCUGUUUGUGCUGUCACAGCAUCUAAGAACCGCAGAUGAAAUAGGAGGUCACUGUAGAAAAACAUCACAAAUAGUGUCAAACUCAGAUCUCCACGGGGCAUCUGUUGUUGGCUCAGCUUGAAAGUAUCAAAACAUAUUACUCACUUGUAAAAUAGAGCAUGUUCCUUAGCCCUUAACUAUCCCUGAUGGGGUAGAGUCUGCUACCCUGUUAAAGAGCCAGCCAUUGUUUGUAUGAGAUCUGACGUCUCAGGCAUUGUCACACGUGGGUUUCUUUGUGUCUCCCAUUGUAUUUUAGAAAUGGUUUAUUGCAAUGAACUCUGCACAUUCUAAAUGGUAAAUUUUUAGGAAUAAAACUUAAACAUGU
rnacentral:lncRNA from 1 species